rnacentral:siRNA from 1 species
UCGCUGGAUUUCUAUCUUCUUC